GCAAACAGGGGAGGGGCAGAGAGGGGGACAGAGGAUGUGAAGGAGGCUCUGUGCUGGCAGGCUGACAGCAAGCCUGAUGUGGGGCUUGAACUCAGGAACCAUGAGAUUAUGACCUGAGCUGAAGUCGGGCAUUCAACCAACUGGACCACUCUAGUGCCCAGAAUAAAAGUAUAUUUAAUGCUAAUAACUCUAAAGACAGGUCUAUCUUAAUUAAGCUAACUUAAAUUAGCUUAAAUGCCAAUUAUGUUGCACCUGGGUCCCUCCUCCUAAUAGAGGCAGGUUACUCUUGUUGUAUGUGGGGACUUCUCCCUCAUUCAUUUCUUGUUCCCCAUUGUCAAUUUUUACUUGGGGCAUCAGUAGGGAAAUCUGAAAUGGAUGGUUCCAGGCCAGGGAGGGGUGCUCUUCGAUAGCUAGGGUAGGAGCAGGAGGACCAGAGGAUGGUGCUGAUGGUGCUGGAGGCCCAGAGGAUGGUAUAGGAGCUGGUGAUGCAGGCUGCACCCAUCGUGGUGCAGAAACGGGAGGAGGGGAAGGUGCCACCACCAAGGCUGGAGGAUGAUAAAAGUCCAGAGGGCAGAGAAAGGGGCUCCCUGCCUGAAAAAACAGACACGUUUGUUUUUGGCCACCAACCAGAAGUGAAACUAGGCAGUCCACGUCAUGCCAGAAAAGACUGGGAACUUCCCAGAAACAAAAGGAGUUUCAGCAGCUGCUUUGGAAUAACCUUAAGGUCCCUGUCCAGAGGUAGACUAACCACAUACGAUUAGCUCUAAUUAUCAUGGCUAUUAACCCAAGAAAUGAGGGAGACGUCCCCACAUACAACAAUAACCUGAGUCUAUUAGAAGGAGGGACAGUGAGAGAGCAUCCCCUCCAUUGAAUAAUCAUCAUCCAGUAUGUCAGGAGAGGGUUUAUCGAACAUGUUCUGCAAGAGUCCCUGAGCCAUGAAGGCCUCAGUCCAUUUGCCCUAUUUCUGCAGAAGAGAUCUGAUAGAUUGUAUUCCAAUUUAAUGUCCCAUUAAUGGGUCAUUUUUCCUCAUCUCUUAAGGAGUACUGAGGCCAUGUCAUGUUAGAGAAGAUCAGCCUUUUCUUUAUUAAAUCUUACAAUCUGAAUUGUUGCCACUGGAUUAGAGGGCAUUCCAAGGGAGAGUCCAUGGGGACUGAGAGAAGGCUCAUUACCAAGGAAAUCUCUCCCAUGACUCUGGGGUGGUGUCCCAUGCUGGGUAUAUCAGAGGUUCCUUGUGUCUAAGUGACUGAAGGCAUCCCUCAACUGAAAAGGACUAUGGACACAGCCUUACCCUGUAGGAGGGAUGCUGGUGUCCCCCCCCACUUCCCUGUUGCAUCCUAGGCUACAAAUGGGUGCUGGUGAAGUUACCAAAAUUGCAUGCCAUGAAGAACCCACUAUUUUUAACCCAUGGAAAACCCUAGAAAAAUUUUACAUGGGGAAAUUACCCAAUGUUGUAAUUUUAGUUGGAAGGGGACACUGAUGAAAAAACAGUAAAGAUUAGAAAUCCAUCAUGAUCUAAGUGACAUUCCAAUACAUAGAGUCUUUAAAGCUGACUUCUCUAGAAAAUGGUCCCAGUUUUUUUUAAAAAUAUGUUUGAGAGAGAGAGAGAGAGAGAACAAGUGGGGGAGGGGCAGAGAGAGAAGGGGACAGAAUCCAGACAGAAUCCAGCCCCGUGCUGACAGAAGAGAGCCCAAUGCAGGGCUCGAACUCAGGAACAGUGAGAUCAUGACCUGAGUUGGUCGAACACUUAACUGACUGAACCACCCAGGUGCCUCCUCCCUGCUACUCCCCACCCCCCAAUCCCCACCCUUUCAAUUUGGUAUUGAUUGCUGCUGACUCCAAGCAGGGCCAUGGCCUGAAGUGGCUAGACUAGGGAUGUGGAAGGGAUCACAUUAGAACAAUGAGGAGGAACUCUAACACGGAACUCUUAAUAUUUGCAGCUGUCCCAGUGACUUAAGUGGCUGUCCUGUGUGUAAGACAGCUUUGUGUAAGGAUAGGAAUAAAGAGAGGGUAUCCAGUUUCUAGGUCUCAUGAUCAUUCUGGCCAGGGUACUAGCUUCCAGUCAAAAGGUAGGCUUUCUCUUCCCCACAGAGCAGCCACAGGCUAGAGGAUUACAGCCUGAGCAACUGACAUGCAAGUAAGUGUUCCAGUAAGACCUUAUUCCUUGAAAAACCCCUGAAAUGAAAGGAAAAGAAGAGGAAGUACUCACCAACUUUACACCAAAGCUCCGAGUCCAGAUGAGAAGACAGGCCCCACGUUGGGUGCCAAAAUAACGUGGGGUCAGGAACAAAUGCAAGGACACAGAAGAUGGCCAUCGGCUGCAAGCCAAGAAGAGAGGUCUUGGGAGAAAUCAUGCUGCUGACACCUUGACCCUCCAGCACUGUCAGAAAGAAAUACCUGUUGUUUACACCCCCGUGCUCUACUCCUUGGUUUCUACAUUCCUCCUGGGACUCAAACAUCACCUCCACAUGAAGACUCUCUUGGAGUCUAAAGUCUAGGAUCGUCCAGAUGGUCACACUCUCCAAGCAUAGCACUACAUUUUGUAGAAUUGCUCAAAGAAGGAAAGAAAAGCUAAGUAUGUUUUCUUCAAGGUCCCAGCUUUUAUACUGUGUGGUGGGUUCGGGGUUCUUAUUUCAAUGUUUCAUUAAAAGUAUGUCAAUGUAGGCAUAGAUCAA